rnacentral:rRNA from 1 species
ACAAGCGGUGGAGCAUUGUGGUUUAAUUCGAAAGCAACGCGAAGAACCUUACCAGGUCUUGACAUCCCGAUGCUAUUUCUAGAGAUAGAAAGUUACUUCGGUACAUCGGUGACAGGUGGUGCAUGGUUGUCGUCAGCUCGUGUCGUGAGAUGUUGGGUUAAGUCCCGCAACGAGCGCAACCCCUAUUGUUAGUUGCCAUCAUUCAGUUGGGCACUCUAGCGAGACUGCCGGUAAUAAACCGGAGGAAGUGGGGAUGACGUCAAAUCAUCAUGCCCCUUAUGACCUGGGCUACACACGUGCUACAAUGGUUGGUACAACGAGUUGCGAGUCGGUGACGGCGAGCUAAUCUCUUAAAGCCAAUCUCAGUUCGGAUUGUAGGCUGCAACUCGCCUACAUGAAGUCGGAAUCGCUAGUAAUCGCGGAUCAGCACGCCGCGGUCGAAUACGUUCCCGGGCCUU